CUUGUCGCCUUGUCUACUCUCUGUCUCGCUCUAGGUAAUAUGGAGGGGGGUGAAAGUAGCAAUUAUAAUGAUGAAGUAGCAUCGGUCGAAUCAGUUGAACAAGACUUUGAUGAUUUUGAUCUUGAUAUACUGAUAUCCUGGUUGUGCACUUUACGGUGGAUAUGUCCAUGCACACGAGAGAACCUAUUAGAGACAGCGUAUUGUCAGGACCCGAAUAGGUAAGAGAGGUUUUAUAUGGACAUUCAGAUAGAGUAUAUGAAGCUUUUAGAAUGGAGAGACAUGUCCUUCUCAACCUUUGUGAAUUGAUGAAAGUAAAAGGUUGGUUGAAAGAUAGUCGAUAUAUUAGGGUAGAUGAAUAAGUUGGGAUUUUCUUAUCUAUGAUUUGUCAUAAGAACUCGAAUAGAGAUUUAUGUGAGAGAUUCCAACAUUCGGGACAAACUAUCAGUAAGUACUUUACAAUAGUGUUGAAAGCAGUUCUCAAACUGGCAAGAGAGGUUAUUGUACCCCCUUCCUUUGAUAUCGUCAUAGAGGAGAUUUUUAUGGAUCCUAACCAUAAACGUUAUUUUAAGGUAGGAUUCUCACACAUUCCUUCCUUUACA